CCUGUUGACCUGACGUCACAAUCGGUGGGGGUUAUAAAAUCCCCUGAAUGUAUACUGCAGUUAUUCGCCGUAAGAAAAGCAAUAGACCAGACAGUCACACUAUACGUAAUUGGAGCAGAGAAAGAAACAGUCAACAAAAUGACUAAAACGGUGACUGCUUACAUUGGAAUCCUUCUUCUUGCCAUGCAUUUUUCAUCACAGGUCCAUGCACAAAACUCUACCACAGGAUCCCCUGCUCUGACUGGGAACAUGACUGACACUCCCUGGACGAGUUCCACGAUGCCCAAGGUCACUACCAAGAACAUCACCAAUCCCAAAGGAGCCAGCCCGUCCUUGCAGUCCAGUGCGUUCACGCUCCUCAUCCCUGUGGUGGGCUCGCUCCUACAGGGCCGCUUCUAGAAGGCUCAUCUGCACUGAACAAACACCGCCAAGACUGUAACAUCGGCAGCCUAGAUGGGCAGAUGUUUUACAAAGAGCACACUUUUAUAAAUUCUCGGAAGGCAGCCAUGUGCGCGCCUAAGCUGCGGGAUUCGGUGGAAUUGGGAGGUUGCAAGCGCAGGCAAGAACCCCUUUCUUUUCACUGAUGGGAUUCUUAUUUGUGCUCGCACCUCCCGGCUGCUUCAAACCGUAGGCCUACACUCUGUGCGCACUGGCCCCAAGCCUAUUGUGUGGCAACAAGCGGUCUCACUGCAGAAUGAGACAUUUGUCCAUAAAACGUUAAGGUUGUUUAGGCAUUAAUGCACAAAUGGGAAACGGCAAAGUUUGGGAUAGGGUUAAAUCAUUUUUUUAAAGUGCCUAACACUGGGAUUGAACACAUGACUACUUGAUGGUAAUAGAGCUUGCGUUGACCCUAGUAGCCAAUUUUGAAGUGAUAUCCUGCUUACCUGGACAGAUGUCUAAUUUUGCAGUGGUUCUUGAGUGACCUGGCUGUCCCCUCCAUGGAGGCAGGCCAUGACGAGGAUGUAUGAAACUCUGUUCUUUGACUCAAUAUGUCGUAAUUGCAGACCGCAAUUUGGAGCGUUUCCUGAUAUCAAGAAAUGCCCCGAAUUUGUCAGUUCAGGUGUUGAGAUUGGUUUCUCGACAGAUUUGUUUAUGUAGCAGGUUAGGAUAAUUAACAUGGCAGGUUAGGAGAAUGAGGUAAAGGGUUAGGCUUAGCUACCGUUGUCAACAAUUGUUGUCCCCGCCGUAAACUAAAUGGCCACGGCCCAAUGGCAAGCAUCGACGGGUGUAACUUGAUUUCAAGAUGCGCUGAUAUUUGAAAACGCUCCUAAUUGUGUUCUGUAAUUGACUCUUGGUUCCACUUCCUGAGUUCAGACAGUAGUUUUGGGACUUAUGACGUGUACAUUUUGGCUUUGCCUGGGGAAAUAAAUGGCAUAACAAAUGUUGGUUGAGGCGCAUUGUGGAAAAUAACGUAGUCUAUAUUUGUCUGAUCUGUUGCACUUAUGUCCUUAACAGUGCUAUUUUACUCCUGCAACUGCAGUGGAUACUUUGUCAGAGGCUUGAUGUAGCCCACACUUGUGAUAAACUUCUAUAUAAUUGUAUAUUCUAAACAUGUGAGCUUUAAUUAUGUAGAUCAGUGUAAUGCUUUUAGAUCUCAUAUUUGUAUGUCCGGUUCAAUAAAGCUUUGAAAUGUACUUGUGAUGCUUAAUAUUUAAUGUCCUUGUACAAUAAAAUGUGACAUUAAUAUAACA